rnacentral:sRNA from 1 species
UGUCUAACUCGAUCGACGUUCGACGAC